ACGCCACAUCAGCAGGCGUACAGUAAAGGCGAGCCAUAACACUGUCCGAACAGGAUCUUUGGCUAUUCGGUAACGGCUUAGCCAUAUCUUGUCUUCUUGCAUUUACCUAGCACGUUUCCUUUACUACCACCAGCAUUUCCCAGCCUUCCACUGCUACUUCACCUUCUCUGGUUCUCUGAUCAGGAAUUGUCCCAGCCAUGAGGAAUCCAUCUUCACAAACUGCAAGUGACAAAGAAAUUGACCAGAGACCUCCACAUCUGUCAAGAGCUGAGUAUAUUUAACAGAGAGGGCCAUGCAGGUCCCUAGUGAACUCCUGAUGAACAACAUGCAGAAUUGGUGGCAGUAUACACUUUAAGUUCCAGUAAUCAUCCAACAUCAUGUCCACGUGAGACUGUCCUAUGUUGAGCACCUUCUUCGGUCAAGUCUAGACUCAGUGACUCAUUCUUGAUCAGCCAGGGCAAGUGGCUUAUACUUUUUAUGAUCUUUAUUCAUUCCAAUGUGGAUUAUCCUUAAUAUAUAUGAACACAUGAUGUUAUUUCAUCAUCUUAACAUAGCUUUGUGAGUAUCCUGAACAUUUUGUUGAAUCAUGCAAGAAAAAUUCAUCAAUAUUGUCUGUACCUUGAAUUGUAAUGGGUGUUUCUUUGUAAGUUAACAUAAGCAGUUGUUGACUGUUAAAUCUAUGCUAAUUGUAAUUCCUAAUGUGCUGUACUGCAUUUUUUUGCAAUGAAAUUCUGGCAACUACAGCUACCAGUAAUUCUCUGUAAAGUUGAACUUUGCAAUA